rnacentral:snRNA from 1 species
AUACUUACCUGGACGGGGCCGAUGGGCGAUCAUGAAGGUCCAUGACCUAGGCUAGUGGCCUCCACUGCACUUGGGAGGAGCAUUGGCUUACCAUCUCCCCAAGUGGGAGACUGGACGUCACAAUUUGUGGCAGAGGGGGUACGCGUUCGCGCGGCCCCUAU